GUUUUUCUUAAAAAUUACUUUAUCUCUUUACUCUAUCUGAAUUCAUAUAUUAUUAAUCAUUCCUGAUUCUGGAACAUUUAUUUAACCUAAUGAUUAUGAGUUGUGCUCACAGUAACUUGGGAAAAAGAGAAUUAUUCCACAACCAUGGAUGUCUACUUUACAUACCCUAUAAAUUGUACAAUUAUCCUUCUUUUUUCACUCUUACUACUGAAACACGUAUGAACAAAUAAAAAUGUAAAUCAUUAAAAUUUUCAUCAAGUGAAAAAAAGGCAUUUACCUAAAAUACUAGUUUCAGCUUUCACAGUUUGACAUUGAUAGAUUUAUCAUUUUAUCCUACAGGUCACUGACCCAUAAACUCAAAAGCAAAGCAUUCUCAUAUUUUCCCAACCUUUUUGGCACCAUGCUGGUUUUCCAUACUGCAUUUUUCUUCCUUUUUCAUUGUCUAUUCUAUUAGAGCACUUUUAGGAGGUACAUAUGAAUCAUCAGACUCACUGCCUUUCCAUCGACAUUAUUAGUACUUCUUCUAGGUGUGAUGUGAUUGCUAAAGCUUCUCCAUGAACUGGUACAAAUGCCCAGUUUAUACAUUCUAUGUAACACAGAUCUGCUUUAAAAUAUUCACCCAGGAAAAGAGGCUUCAGAAGGACAUUGCAAUCUGCCUUCCUGCAAUCAGGAGGAAAUUCACUGUUAAAGAUCAAACUUGCAAAAUUCAAACACAAUAGGACACUGAAGUGGUAGCAUUAAAGUUGCACCCUACUGAGACUAGGUGGAGCAAGCUCUGAGCUCUGACAGUAAACUUAUGUUGACUUUGCUCCGAAUCCACAUUUUUAUUUCAUGAAUCAUCUGAUGUGAAUUCUCUUUCUCAUUUUACCCCAUUUAAAUUAAUAAGAAACCUUGCUGUGCUAUGCCUGAGGCCUAUUGUGUAUCAAUGUUCAAGGAAGCUGAACUCAUGAUUCUUUUAACUUAUUUUAUUUUAAAUUUAUAAUGGUUGAGGAUGUUACUGCUUAUUACCCUCUCUUUAUAGUUUUUAAAAGGUUUUUGUGAACAUUUCCCUGAAGAAUCAUCCUUUCAAGGAGAUGACGUCUUAUCUUCUCCAAUUGCAGGGUUUCCUGGAGUGCCUCAGUUGUCCCACUCUCUGUGUAGCUUAGAUGCAAUUUUCCCCUUGAUUUUCUUUAACUUGACCUCCAUCUACUUCCCCCCAGGAAGGCUUCAACCCCCUUCUAGCCAAUGAGUUGAUCAUUCAUUAGCUGGCUUACAUGUAUUGUCAUUCUUUCCAGUGUGUCGGACAUCUGACAUUAGCAUCUCUCACCAGCCUAAAUACUUCAUUCAUUAAGCUCUGUGUAUUGCCUACUUUACCUUCUCUUUUUUGGCUUAGCACAUUCUAGUCAUAAAUUAUAGCUACUAUAAUUUAAACAAGGCUUUAAUGGCCUAUCUCAACUCAUCACUUUGGGACAUUUUACCUGUUUAGAAUAUAGCACUGGCUCUUAGUGUAAGAAUGUCAGGUUACUGAGAUCUUAAAGAGUAGUGGGAAGAGUUUUUAUGCCAUUUUUAUAAAAUAUAAAUAUUAAAUGAAAAAAAUAAAUUUCAAUUCAGUAUCUACUAAUCCAAAAUUCUAAAUGCAAUGUUGUUAUUCUUAAAAAGUGGGAAAUUAAAAAAUUACUCCAUAUAAUAAGGCAUAGGAAUUUUUCAGAAAUGAAUAAAAUAUAGAGAGUGGAGAAGAGAUAUAUUAAAAGGAUCUCUUACUACCUUUUGAGAAUAUUUAUGUCAGUUUUGUUGAUCUCUAGAAUAAUUAAUGGCAUUUAGUUGUAUCCCAUAUUACAAACUCAGAUUAAGGACAUUUUCAUUUAUUGUCUAUGGUGUCUUCCUUGAGUUUUUUUUUUUUUUCUUAAUUCUUAUCUUUGUCCGAAGACUAAGGUUUUCUCACUAUAAAUGGUUUUUAUCCAAUCUUGGCAUGGAUGGCAAACAUUCUAAAAUUUUUACCACUGACUGAAAUAUUGGGGUACAUCAGGGACAAACAAAAAGGAAUUAUUAGAUAAUGCUAUUGAGUAGAGCAAGAGGACAAGCAUUGGCUUAAUUAAUUCAUCAGUAUGGUUGCUUGAGAUUAUGAGCUUGUGUGUGUUGGUAUGUGUAUGUGUAUGGAUAAAUGUAAGUGUGGUAGUGACUGACAUGAAAGAUAACAAAAGGCAAAACCUUUUAUAAUCAACCACUAACUGUGUCACCUGAGCGCUUAUAGAGCUUCUGCACAUCACAGAAGAUUUGAGGAAUGUAGGUUGACUCACUAUUUGUAAGCAUUAAGUUAAACAAAAGCACAAUGUCUAGAUCUGGACAAAACCAAAACAUUCAGAACUAAACAUUGAGAUACAGGAAAUGAUUUAUGCUGGGAAGAAACUUGGACUGUUUUAUCACCAAAUCCUGACAAAGCAGAUCAUUGUGCUAUAGAUUAUAAGGUAGAUCUUAGCAAAAUGAAUUAACUGGCUCAAUGUUUGUAAAUAACUAUAUUUUCAGAACACAUACAUGUUUUCAGCAACCUGACAAGUCAAGGAACUAGCUUAUGAACAAGAAAAAAUUUUCAAGGACUUUGGACCAUAAGAUUUUAUAAUGAAUGGUUUGUACAGCUAAUUUAAAAUAAGAAGGUCAAACAUAUAAGUUUUAUUUCUUUAUGUAAUUUCCUGACUAUUCUCCCAGGCCCAGACUAUCAUUUUAAGUCCUAAAUACCCUUUUCAUCUGGAUGGUGGUUUGCUAACACAACAUGUACCAAUGAUACUCACCAUUGCCAUCCCACAGUGUAUGCCUCUUGCUCCUGACAUCUUACUGGUGGUUUCCAAUAUUUGUAUUUAGUCAAGAAUCCCAAGACCUCUGAGUGCUCUUUGAUUUAUCUCUUUGCUUUUCCCAUAGCCAGUGAUUCAUCAGGGGCUGUCAAUUCCUUCUCCCUACUGUCUCAUACCACCCUUUGCUCUCGUACAUUACCCCAAUCCUAGUUAACAGUCUCAUUACUGCUUACCUAAACUACUGCUAUAACUCUUCCUCCUGCCUCUGGUCUUGCUUCUAAUCUACUCAUUGUGCAUUCAGCUGCCAAAUUAAUCUUUCUAAAGCACAGCUUUGAUUAUGUCACCUCUGCUCAAUGACCUUCAAAUUCCUCUUCUUUGCCUACCAAAUUGAGCUCUAACUUUCUAGCCUUUGACUUUAUGAUCCAGGCUUAGUUUUCUUGAGUUAGCAUUAAUAUUUUCCUCUUUUUGAAACUCUAGCUAAACUUAGCAAUUCAGCAUUCUACAAUCAAUCCUGGAAGCUUCUUUUUAUCAAUGGGUUUUGCAAUUAUUUUUUCUUACCUGGAAUGUUUUUAGUAUUUUUAGAGCUAUUUGCUAACAUUCUCCUUGAAGAUUGGCAGUUUUUGUUUUCAUUAAAAGAUUUCAACAACACUGGCUAAAGUGUCCCCCACAAGCGCACAGGAGGACUCAAACUCGUAGGGUAUGAUGAGGAGCAAGAGGUGGAGAAAGAAGGGAGAGGAUGGAGCAGUAGACAGUCAGAAGCCAGGGCCAAGGACAUUUGAGAAGUCUGAGAAUUCUAAAUUUGAAUCUGGUCUUUCAUAUCAUCAUGAAAUUAUAUUCAUCAAGAUAGAAUGAUGGGACACACUUUAAAUAAUUGCCCAAUUUCUAAACAUUUAGAUUCAGGAACAUGUAUGCCUCUACUUAAAUUCUUGCUGUGAAACACAUGAUUACUAGGAGCAAGUCUAUAUUUUAUCCAUGAAAACUAAUAAUUGACUACAUUGUCUGUAAUCUGCUAAGUCUUUAGUAUUUGUUGACUGUGGGGGAGCAGGGUGUUUCUUUGAAAUUCCAGGUAAUCUUUUUCCAUCUUUCUCUAAUGCUGAUCACAGACUCCUAUAAUUUCUUGCAUUUUAUACGUAUGAAUAUGUUCACUAUAAUCUCUAUCAAGAGUUUGUAUAAUGAUGUAUAGACUGCAGUAAUUUUAAUAGUAAUAGAGGUUAAAAUUUUGAUUACUGGAUAAAACAUAAAAACUCAGAGAAUACUUUAAAAGAGAUACAGAGACUCAUGGGAUUUAAGAGUUGUGAGAUAGUUUAGACAAAAGGAAACUGACUCAAGAAAAAUUAAUGACUUAUUUAGGGCUCAUGACUUCUAGUAUAUCAGGCUAGGAAGCUUUUUGAUUCCUUUCUUUCUAGUACAUGUGUAAGUUAUACAUUAAUCAGCAAGUAUCAUUAAGAUACAGUAUUAAUAUCCUGAGUAUUUAUAGCAAUAUUGCUUUCACUAAUACUGCAGUCAAUUUGUAAAGUGGAAUAAACUCAAGAUGCUAAUUCUAUAAACACUGAAACUUUCUAGAGGAGCCUACUUUGUUUAAAUCCAUAAUUGACACACACUGAAAAAUUAUCCAGGUGUAUACAAUGUUGACAUAUAGUUAAUCCAGAAGGUAGAGGGAUUAUGUUGCAGCAAUUUUCUUUGUAAAGAUUCAGUAGUAACAUCAUUCAGAACAACCAAUCUUAUAUGUGUUUGUAUAAGGCAUUACUGUGAACAAAUAUUGUCAGGUCAUAACUAAUUUCUACAGCAAUAAGCCAUUUGAAAAGGGUUUACAACCCUAAAAUAUGUUUAAACAUACAAAAUACAGAGUGUUCCCCCUUGGAGAUACCUGUAUCUAUAUUUAUCUGGAUCUAUAUUAUUUCCAUGUAUUACACAAUAGCUAUCAAAUACAAAGAGCAGGAAAACUAUUUAAAAUUGUAAUAGUCUCAAAGAAGAAUCUCAAUACUAUCACACUUGUUAAGUCAUUUCUUUAAUAAAAGACAAAGUACAGUUUUAUUUCCUCAUUUACAGCUGUUAUCUAGAGAAAAUCAGAUGAAAUUGUUUAUCACUGCAUGAAUACUACUUUUGCUGAGAAAAUAUUAGAAGUUGGUGGUGCCCGGGCAUGUGAUUGACCAUACAGAGGAAUUCAACAUUGAUCUUGGCCUCAUUGAUAAGUAUUCAAGUAUCAGAAUAUCAAAGAUUUCUUCAUAUGGCAGAUCUCAAAAAAGUUCAAGUUUAGAUGAAAAGUCUCAAAGUCCUGAUCUAUUGAAUUUCACUUUAAAAACAUUAGAUUAUUUUAUUAAGUAAUGGGUAAUAUAAUUAGACAUGAAUUAACUUCACAUACAAUAUGCCAUGAAAUAGAAAUUUAAAAAGUGGUAGAUAGUAAGUUGAACACAUAAUGAUAGCUGUACCUAUGAUUGAUGUAUCUAGAUAGCCUGUGUUUGAGUAUUUUCUCUUUUGCUAAGUAGAUAGUUUACUUUGUGUAAGUUUGUAACCUACACCAUUAUUUCUUACAUCCAUAUUUGUAAAGGGAUGCUAAUUGUAUUUAUCCUAUGGCGUUUUAUGAAGCUUGAAUUAAUGUAUUUAAAAUACUUCAAAGAAUGAAUGAUAUAGAAAAAGCUAAGUAACCAUUUUUAAAAUGUUAUUUGUCCCACUUCCUCCCCAUUAUUUUGCUUAGUAACUUCUUCAUAUGUAUUAUAUUUUAAUUUUUAAUAUAAUAUAAAUAAUUCAUAAUAUGCCUUUUAAACAAU
rnacentral:lncRNA from 1 species